UGUCAGGGAAGGUUGGCUGAAUGGUUUGUAGACUGUACGUGUGUGCAUACGUGUGUGUGUGUGUGUGUGUGUGUGUGUGUUAAAGAUCAGCUAUUCUGAAGUCUCUUUCCAAAGCUUAGCUAGACUCUAAAGCAGAAGACUGGAUGGCUUGUACUGCCAUUGUGGGAGGGAAGAAGCAGAGCCGAAGAUCUCCCAAAGCAGAAGAUGGGUGACAGCAUCAGAUUCCACUUACAUGGGGUUAUAAAGGAAAGAGAAGAACGAAAGCUACAGACUUCUUAUUACACGGUGGACUACAGGGAGUGAUAUAAUUCUUGGAUGUCAUGUGAAAUGUGAAGCCAUUUUUCUUGGACUGAUGUCCCCAGUUCUCUACUAAACACAGUAGCUCCCUUGCUUCUUCCAGAAGAUCAUCCAGCAAUGAAUGACCUUAUCAAUUACACUACUAUUGCUACAACUACAAAAACUACUACUACAACUCCUCGUCUUCCUAUUGUGGCUGCUUCUCCCACCACAACUACGACUACUACAGUAACUACUAUUAUGACCAUUACCACUACCGCAACAACUGCUACUACUAUUCUCUUUGUGAUCUAGCUCUUUUUUUUUUCUAAUUAAAGAAACCUUGUGGUACAUUCAUUUUUAAAGGGAAAUGUAUUCUGAAUUAUAAGUAAAUCUUUAAGUU
rnacentral:lncRNA from 1 species